GACAGGAGCAAGUACCUUUCAUUUUCCUAAGCUGAUGCAAUUAGGAAAUGUUUUAAAUAGGAAAAGAAUGUAUUCUCAUGUCAUUAGCACUUAUGAUAGAAAACACAAAUGACACUAUGAAAUAUUUCCAUUGUCAAUCAUAAAAUAUGCAUUUUUCUUAAAACAUCUAAGGUAGGAUUUUUUGGAAUAGAAAUUGUUAGGGGGAGUUCCGGUCAUGGCUCAGUGGUUAACUAAUCCGACUAGGAACUCAGUGGGUUAAGGAUCCGGUGUUGCUGUGAGCUGUGGUGUAGGUCGCAGACCCGACUCGGAUCCCGCGUUGCUGUGGCUGUGGUGUAGGCCGGCAGCUCUAGCUCUGAUUUGACCCCUAGCCUGGGAACCUCCAUAUGCUGCGGGAACGGCCCUAGAAAAGGCAAAAAGACAAAACAAACAAACAAACAAAAAACAAAAUAAAAACUUAAAAACAAAACUAGAGAUAGGUAUUUGAUAUCAGACCCAUAGUUGGUCACUUUGUAUAUGUCAACAAACCCUUCUAAUUCUCAGAUUUUCCAAGUUGAAACUGAAUAACAAAGAAAGGCAUUGUAACAGUGAGUAUUAAACAAUACAAUUCACAUGAAAGAACUCUGAGAAAAGUAGAAAAUGAUUCCAUCAAUAAAGUCCAAAGUUAUUAAUGUAAAUGUCAUCACUUACCUUUGGCCUGUCUUUAUGCAAAUAAUUUUUUGAAGAUGCAAACUGAAAAAUUAUGGUAGAUCUAAAGGAGAGUAACUGAGAGUUUGACCAUCUGGAAGCUGUAGCAUAUUAGCCUGGCCAAAGAUGCUGGGGAGAUUUAGCCUAGAGGUAGGGCCUGUUGAUUUUGAAUAUUUGAAGUUGUGGACAUAGAAUCAGUGUAAUUCUGGAAGGCAGAAUAUGACCAAUUUAUGCGAGAAUAGAGCGGAAUGCUGGGGUUCAGAAUUUAGAAGAACUUCUUCAUUUUUUGCUUGUUAGGGCCUCACUCUCAGCAUAUGGAGGUUCCCAGGCUAGGGGUCGAAUCAGAGCUAUAGCCACCGGCCUAUGCCAAAGCCACAGCAACGCGGGAUCUGAGCCGCAUCUACAACCUACACCACAGCUCAUGGCAAUGCCGGAUCCCCAACCUACUGAGCAAGGCCAGGGAUUGAACCCGCAACCUCAUGGUUCCUAGUUGGGUUUGUUAACCACUGAGCCACGAUGGGAACUCCUGGAAGGACUUCUUAAGGAGAAUUUUCUCGCCAUAGAAUGUAAUUAUCUUGUAAAAUAAGACUAUUUCCGUGGUUGAAGCUCUCAGUAGAAUCUCAGUAGAAGCUGCUGAGGUGUUUCCGUCUUUACGCGGGAGGUUAUAUGCUCUUGAGCCCUGAGCAACCUUCCAGCUGCCUGUGGUUUCAUUGAUUCCUGUUGCUCCAUAUCUUCCUAUUUUUCACUUUACCCUUGGCCUUACUCUCUCGCAACAUUCUUUUCUUUGCCCUCUGGUCUCCUCAUUCCUCUUUACUUGAAUUUUUAGUCAACAUCUCUAUUUUUUCAACAUUUAAGUCAAUUCCGUGGUGUUUUAUUAGAUUUCAUUAUCACAUUUUCUCUUUCAGCUGUAAAGGUCACUGCCAAUCCACCUCUUCCUUCUCCCAGGCUUAUUGUGUUUAUGUCUUCAUAUUUUGUUAAACACAUAGUUACAUAGUAGGAAGAUGAUGUACAAUUAAUUUCUACUAAAUAACCAUGGAGGGAGUUCCCGUCGUGGCGCAGUGGUUAAUGCAUCCGACUAGGAACCAUGAGGUUGUGGGUUCGGUCCCUGGCCUUGCUCAGUGGGUUAAGAAUACAGUGUUGCCGUAUGCUGUGAAGGGCUUGGAUCCCACGUUGCAGAAGGGCUUGGAUCCCACGUUGCUGUGGCUGUGGUGUAGGCCGGCAGCUAUAGCUCCAAUUCGAUCCCUAGCCUGGGAACCUCCAUAUGCCGCGGGAGCGGCCCCAGGAAAAGUCCAAAAGACAAAAAAAUAAAAUAAAAUAAAUAAAAUAACCAUGGAACAUUUUCUACACACCAGCCAAUAUUUUGGAUAUUGGAAAUACAGCACAGAAUGAAAUAAGCAAAAGAUCCUUGCUCUCAUGGGGUUAUGUUCUUGGAAGAAGUCGGGAAACCAACAAGUAAUAAUGUACUGGUUAGACAGUAAUAAGUGCUGUAGAUAAAGGAAUAGGGAGUGUAGCGGAGAGGAUUUAAACAUAAAUAAAAUGGACAGGAAAGUCCUUUCUGAUUAGGUGACAUGUGAACAAAGAGCUGAAGGAAAUAAGAGAACUGUGUGUUAUAUCAGAGGAAAGAACAUUUCAUAUGCAGAAAACAGGGAGAGCAAAGUCUUUGAGUUGGAACAUGCCUGGCUUGUUCCAGGAAUUCCAAGAGGGCCACUGUGGCUGGAAUGCGCUCAGCAAGGGAGGGUGUAGAAACUGCAGCCAGAGGUGUGUGUGUGUGUGUGUGUGUGUGUGUGAAAAGCUGGGGUGCUGCCACACAAAGUGUGAUGUUCAGUCUCUAGCUUUCCUCCUACUGAGACAUAGGGUGCACAUGGGGGAUUUUUAGCUGAGAAGUGACAGGAUCCAAAUUGUACUUAUUAAAAACAAUAAAGAAUCCUGAUGUCUUUUACUCAGGAUUUACAGUCUAGGAGGUGAAAGUGAAAAAGAAAACAAAACGAACAAAAACUUAGGGUUAAACUGUCAAGACAAGUAUGAUCAGAUCUUUUGUCCAUUUGAAUAAAUAUUCGGGGACACCUACCAUGGGACUAUUGCACCUCUUAUGGUGGUCAGUCUUGGGAGAAAAAGCUAGCUGGGCCACGUCCCUGCCUUUGAGACCAGCCAUCUGAUAUCUUUCCAGGUCUGUGAUUUUUGGGGAAUACAGUAAGUGUAACAAGGAUGACAGUAAACACCCUUUGAGAGUCUUCCUUGGUCAGUCUUAUGAAGAAUAUAAAAUAUGCAACACGACCAUGGCCUCAAGGAAUUUACUGUCAUUCAUUGCAGGAGACAAGGAAAGAUAUAUAGAAAUUAAAAUUUAAGAAUGACAAAAGAAUAACAGUGAUACAAAAUAGAGAAAGUUUUAUCUUUCCUGGGACAGAAGAUUUGCCAAAUUAAUGUCACUAGUUCAGAAUGAUAGUUUCAGUGACUGCUACCACCAUCUAUCAGUGAUAGAUGCUUUUCUUCUAGAGCAUUGCCUUGUCUGUCUCUGGGCUUGUGUUUGUAAAUGGAGGAACUUCUGUACAGCACUAAAUGGCAGAUGAUUCGGCCACUAAGUGUAAAUAGCUCAUGUGAUUUGAGAAGCAUGAAUAAGAAGAAAAACAUUACUAUUUAUUGAGCUCUCACUAUGUGCUAGGUCCUGUUCUGGGCAUUUUUUUUUUUCUUUUUUGUUUUCUAGGGCUGCACCAUGGCAUAUGGAAGUUCCUGGGCUAGGGGUUGAAUCAGAGCUGCACUUACUGGCCUACAGCAUAGCCACAGCAGUGGCAGAUCCGAGCCACAUCUCCUACACUGCAGCUUGCUGCUUGUGGCAAUGCCAGAUCCUCAAGCCACUGAGGGAGACCAGGGAUCGAAUCUGUAUCCUUAUGGAUACUAGUCAGGUUCUUAGCCCACUGAGCCACAACGGGAACUCCUCGAGGCAUUGUAAUGUAUUAACUCAUUUUAUUCUUGCAACUCUAAGCGGUACUAUUACAGCUCUAAUUUUAUAGAUAUGGGGUCCAUAACUUUCUAGCUUUUUGGGGGGUGUUCCCAGUCUAGAGGUCUAAUUGGAGCUACAGCUGCCGACCUGUGCCACAACCACAGCAAUGCCGGAUCCUUAACCUACUGAGCGAGGCCAGGAAUUGAACCUGCAACCUCAUAGUUCCAAGUUGGAUUCAUUUUCACUGAGCCACAACAGAAACCCCUAACUUUCCCCAGAUCUUUUAAUUGGCAAUGCGGGAGCCAGAAUUCUCCAAAACAGUCUGUAUGCUGCGGAGAUCAUGUUCCAAAUUAUGCUGCUGAUAAAGUUUAUUUCUACUCCAACAGUUUUUUCUUUUAUUACCAACAAACAGAUCCGAACUUGUUUUCAAAGAGUUUACAAGCAUUUAAAGGAUUAGAUGACAUAGUGGUAGAUAUUGAAAAUCUUACCUUUCAUUAUUUACCUUUUGAAUGGCAAGCUCUGAAUUGGAGUAGCUUUAAAAAUACCCGAGAUAUGUGAGUGCAGACUUUAUUUGUGCGAUCACAGUUCUUAUCUCUCUCGAUUUGGGCAUCUUUAGGUCUGAGAAGCUUGAUUUCCUUGUAUGAAGCAGUUAUUGUCAUUACUCUGUCAUAUUCUGGAAAGAAUUCCUAUUCUUUAGGCCUAGCAUUCCCUAAGUGUUCUGUUGGUUAUGAUGUUUUCAAACAGCUCCUUUAGUGGAUGGAUUAUAGAAAUGAGGGGUCCUUGAGAAGAGAUAAGCUCUGCCAUUUAAUAGCUGAAUGGCCUCUGGCAAGUUAUUCUAAAUCUUUGUUUCCUCAGCUAUAAAUGAGGGUAAUGAUAGUAUGUACCUCAUGGUGUUAAAUUUGGAAUAUUAACUGAAGCACUAUUUUAAAGCACUUGGGACAGUUCAUGGUACAUACUAAGCAAUAAUUGAAAAUCCUGUUUAUUAUGUCCAUGACUCCAAAAACCGUGUAUUUUCUUCUAGGCAAAAUAUCAGAACCACAUAGCUUAAUGUGUUCAAAAUAACACUUUCACGGACUUUAAGUUAUUUGAUUUUUAUAAGACCCUUUUAGAUGAGUAAUGCUAUAUUACUACAAAUAUGUAUUUUUAAAAUGAGAAGCUUAAAGGUCAUGGUGAUUAGGUGACUUGUCCCUGGCUGCUCAUCUAAAUGUGGGUUAAAGGUGAGCUAAAGCUAGGACUUCAAUGCAUCUCUCUCGACACCUUCUCCCGACUUCUGUUCCAUCAUUCUGUAUUGUUUCUUUUCAGGAGUCCUAUUCACUUGCAGUGUAUAUUCUAUCCACCCCCAUGUGUGUUGUGGUGUGUUUGAGUGAUGGGUUAUACCUUAACUUGGCUUGUCAAGUUAGACGGUGGUAUGUUCAGCAAACUCAAACUAAUAUCUCAUCUUUUUGUAUAUUUUUGGUUUUCCCCAAAAUGGUAUAUUUUAAGUUGUGUUUUGGUCACACACAAAAAAGCAAGUUAAAAACAAAACCAAGGGAGACAAAAAAAAAAAAAAAAAA
rnacentral:lncRNA from 1 species